rnacentral:rRNA from 1 species
CAUUUAAAGAAAGCGUAAUAGCUCACUGGUCGAGUCGGCCUGCGCGGAAGAUGUAACGGGGCUAAACCAUGCACCGAAGCUGCGGCAGCGACACUGUGUGUUGUUGGGUAGGGGAGCGUUCUGUAAGCCUGUGAAGGUGUGUCGUGAGGCAUGCUGGAGGUAUCAGAAGUGCGAAUGCUGACAUAAGUAACGAUAAAGCGGGUGAAAAGCCCGCUCGCCGGAAGACCAAGGGUUCCUGUCCAACGUUAAUCGGGGCAGGGUGAGUCGACCCCUAAGGCGAGGCCGAAAGGCGUAGUCGAUGGGAAACGGGUUAAUAUUCCCGUACUUGGUGUUACUGCGAAGGGGGGACGGAGAAGGCUAUGUUGGCCGGGCGACGGUUGUCCCGGUUUAAGCGUGUAGGUGUGUGUUCCAGGUAAAUCCGGUUCACUUUAACACUGAGGCGUGACGACGAGGCACUACGGUGCUGAAGCAACAAAUGCCCUGCUUCCAGGAAAAGCCUCUAAGCAUCAGGUAACAUCAAAUCGUACCCCAAACCGACACAGGUGGUCAGGUAGAGAAUACCAAGGCGCUUGAGAGAACUCGGGUGAAGGAACUAGGCAAAAUGGUGCCGUAACUUCGGGAGAAGGCACGCUGACACGUAGGUGAAGUGAUUUACUCAUGGAGCUGAAGUCAGUCGAAGAUACCAGCUGGCUGCAACUGUUUAUUAAAAACACAGCACUGUGCAAACACGAAAGUGGACGUAUACGGUGUGACGCCUGCCCGGUGCCGGAAGGUUAAUUGAUGGGGUCAGCGCAAGCGAAGCUCCUGAUCGAAGCCCCGGUAAACGGCGGCCGUAACUAUAACGGUCCUAAGGUAGCGAAAUUCCUUGUCGGGUAAGUUCCGACCUGCACGAAUGGCGUAAUGAUGGCCAGGCUGUCUCCACCCGAGACUCAGUGAAAUUGAACUCGCUGUGAAGAUGCAGUGUACCCGCGGCAAGACGGAAAGACCCCGUGAACCUUUACUAUAGCUUGACACUGAACAUUGAGCCUUGAUGUGUAG